UGGAGGAAGAGAAAGAAAUUCGAUUCCGUAAGUAGCGGCGAGCGAACGCGGAACAGGCCAAACCAAUGAAGUUUACUUCGUUGGGGUUGCGGACAUACAACAUGGAUGCAAUAUCGUAAAUGAAGAGAGUUGGAAAGCUCCGCCAUAGAAGGUAAUAGCCCUGUAGUUGAAACGAGAAAGCUACUAGUAUGAUCCAGAGUACCACGGGACACGUGAAACCCUGUGGGAAGCAGGAGGGACCAUCCUCCAAGCCUAAAUACUACCUAGUGACCGAUAGCGCAUAGUACCGUGAGGGAAAGGUGAAAAGAACCCCGGGAGGGGAGUGAAAUAGAACCUGAAACCCUGCACUUACAAGCUGUGGGAGCACAUUACUUGUGUGACCGCGUACUUUUUGUAGAACGGGCCAACGAGUUACGUUAAGUAGCAAGGUUAAGCACUUAAGGUGUGGAGCCGUAGCGAAAGCGAGUCUUAAAUGGGCGAUUAAGUUACUUGGCGUAGACCCGAAACCGGGCGACCUAUCCAUGAGCAGGUUGAAGCGAAAGUAAAAUUUCGUGGAGGACCGAACCCACGAGCGUUGAAAAGCUCGGGGAUGACUUGUGGAUAGCGGUGAAAUUCCAAUCGAGCCCGGAGAUAGCUGGUUCUCCCCGAAAUAGCUUUAGGGCUAGCCUCAAGCGUAGAGAAACGGAGGUAGAGCACUGAAUGUCCUAGGGGGUAUUGCACUUACCGAAGACUAUCAAACUCCGAAUGCCGUUUUCUUUUACUUGGGAGUCAGACUGUGGGUGAUAAGAUUCAUAGUCAAAAGGGCAACAGCCCAGAUCGUCAGCUAAGGUCCCUAAAUGUACGUUAAGUGGUAAAGGAUGUGGGAUUGCACAGACAACCAGGAUGUUGGCUUAGAAGCAGCCACUCAUUUAAAGAGUGCGUAAUAGCUCACUGGUCGAGUGAUCCUGCGCCGAAAAUUUCCGGGGCUAAAACGUACUACCGAAGCUACGGCAUCAUUUAUGAUGGGUAGGGGAGCUUCGUAUGCAGGCUGAAGCAUGACCGUAAGGACAUGUGGACAGUAUACGAGUGAGAAUGUUGGCAUGAGUAGCGAGACGUGGGUGAGAAUCCCACGGGCCGUAAACCCAAGGUUUCCAGGGGAAGGUUCGUCCGCCCUGGGUUAGUCGGGACCUAAGCCGAGGCCGAAAGGCGUAGGUGAUGGACAACAGGUUGAUAUUCCUGUACCGCCAAUAAGCGUUUGAGAGAUGGAGUGACACAGUAGGAUAAGCUAACCGUACUGUUGGUUAUGUACGGCUAAGCAUUGAGGCAGUCUAAAUAGGCAAAUCCGUUUAGACAAUGCUAGGAUGUGAUGGGGAAGCCCUUCGGGGCGAAGUAGCUGAUUUCACACUGUCAAGAAAAGCUUCUAUCGAGUUUAAAGGCGCCCGUACCGUAAACCGACACAGGUGGGUGAGGAGAGUAUCCUAAGGCCAGCGAGAGAACUAUUGUUAAGGAACUCGGCAAAAUGACCCCGUAACUUAGGGAGAAGGGGUGCCUGUCUAUGACAGGCCGCAGAGAAUAGGCCCAAGCGACUGUUUACCAAAAACACAGGUUUCUGCUAAGUCGCAAGACGAUGUAUAGGAGCUGACGCCUGCCCGGUGCUGGAAGGUUAAGGGGAUCUGUUAGAGCAAUCGAAGCAGUGAACUUAAGCCCCAGUAAACGGCGGCCGUAACUAUAACGGUCCUAAGGUAGCGAAAUUCCUUGUCGGGUAAGUUCCGACCC
rnacentral:rRNA from 1 species